rnacentral:rRNA from 1 species
UACGGAGGGUGCAAGCGUUAUCCGGAUUCACUGGGCUUAAAGGGUGCGUAGGAGGGCAGGUAAGUCAGUGGUGAAAUCUCCAAGCUUAACUUGGAAACUGCCGUUGAUACUAUCUAUCUUGAAUACCGUGGAGGUGAGCGGAAUAUGUCAUGUAGCGGUGAAAUGCUUAGAUAUGACAUAGAACACCAAUUGCGAAGGCAGCUCGCUACACGAAUAUUGACUCUGAGGCACGAAAGCGUGGGGAUCAAACAGG